UACAGAGGGUGCAAGCGUUGUUCGGAAUUACUGGGCGUAAAGCGCGCGCAGGCGGCUAUCCAAGUCAGUGGUGAAAGCCCGGAGCUCAACUCCAGAACUGCCUUCGAUACUGGAAGACUUGAGUCCGGGAGAGGUGAGUGGAACUGCGAGUGUAGAGGUGAAAUUCGUAGAUAUUCGCAAGAACACCAGUGGCGAAGGCGGCUCACUGGCCCCGGUACUGACGC
rnacentral:rRNA from 1 species